GAUGAACGCUGGCGGCGUGCCUAAUACAUGCAAGUAGAACGCUGAAGCUUGGUGCUUGCACCGAGCGGAUGAGUUGCGAACGGGUGAGUAACGCGUAGGUAACCUGCCUCUUAGCGGGGGAUAACUAUUGGAAACGAUAGCUAAUACCGCAUAAAAGUCGACAUCGCAUGAUGUUGACUUGAAAGGUGCAAUUGCAUCACUAAGAGAUGGACCUGCGUUGUAUUAGCUAGUUGGUGAGGUAACGGCUCACCAAGGCGACGAUACAUAGCCGACCUGAGAGGGUGAUCGGCCACACUGGGACUGAGACACGGCCCAGACUCCUACGGGAGGCAGCAGUAGGGAAUCUUCGGCAAUGGACGGAAGUCUGACCGAGCAACGCCGCGUGAGUGAAGAAGGUUUUCGGAUCGUAAAGCUCUGUUGUAAGAGAAGAACGAGUGUGAGAGUGG
rnacentral:rRNA from 1 species